ensembl:lncRNA
AUAAGCGUUGUUCUUUAUCUCAAUUUCCUCUCUCACAUGUUCAAACUGUCAAGACGGUUCUCCCGAGUGGCGCAUUCGAUCUAAGGCACUGCAUUUAAAUGCUAGAGGCAACACGACAGACCCUGAUUCCAGGCUGUAUCACAACCGGCCGUGAUUGGGAGUCCCAUAGGACGCCGCACAAUCGGCCCAGCGCCGUCCAGCAACGCCAGCAAGGGGAACGCAUUAGGGGGGAAAAAAUACACACAGAAGACUCCAAAAAGAGAGAGAGCAUUUAAAAUCAGAAGUGGCAAAGGAGAGGGGCGAAAAAAGGAAAAUACAGGAAGAGGUAUGCAAGGAUUAAGGGAGAACAGGCAUCUGUAUCGGCUCGUUCGACAGUCAAAGCAUUGCUGAGACGUCAGGAUGUGACAUCACCUAUUAAGAGGGCUCUUCUCGUUCGCACAUCUCUCAUUAAAGAUAUCAAAAGAAAAUACAGAUAUGCAAGGAAACAGAAGAACAAGCAAAUCAUUGCAAACGCGACCUCUGUGAAUAUACUGAAGAAGUAUUCCCAGACGGUGUUGGGCUUUUCAAAUAAGAGAGCGAAGUUGGAAGGGGGACCUUUGCUCUUUUUGUGACGAGGAAGGGAAGCAGAACAGAAACCGAAAUCAAAAGGAAAGUGAAGGAUGUCUUUCCCUGUGAUGGUGAUGAUGUAAGACCGGCCGCAAACAAACCAUCACAAGACUAAAGAACAAAAGGCAGAAGAGGUUUCUGACUGACACAAUGAAUGUAUUUUUGUGUUGUUUUUCACAAUGAAUAUGUAACUAAAUAGCAGUUCCAAUGUUGUUACUACAUGUAUUACUAUGUAGAUGUCUAUUCAGUGUUCAGUAUGCAGUGUUCAAGGUUUCAUAUAUGUUCUGUCCCAUUGCAGCUGUCCACCCUGUUAUACCUUGGUCCACCCUGUUAUACCUUGGUCCAUCCUGAUAUCUUGGGAUCUUUCUCAAAGGAAUUCAGUUACAUGGUCAAAUAUGAAGAAUUUGUGUCAUGUAUUUUGAAGAGUGAGACAUGGCCAACACCACACAAUUAUAUAAAAUAUCACUAAUACCCGUCUCAAUUUAGAGAGAUAAGGUGCAAAUUAGAUUAAGUUCUGUAUAAAACCACACAUUGUAUACAACCUGUUAUUCCUUUAUAAUUUGACCAGAACAAAUGGACAGGGUUGACAAGGGGACACAAUAUCUUUAUGAAAAUGUAAAUAUUAUUAAAGUAGUAGUAAUUAAAAGACAGUUAAGUGGAUGUCCGUAACAUGGUGAACAUAUAUGAAAUAUAUGAAAAUAUGUUUAUAAGGAUCUAACUCUAAGUGCUGGAGCUUGGCCAACAUUUUUUUCUCCAAGUCAAGUAUUUCC